ensembl:lncRNA
GUUCGCUCAGGGAUUAACAUGUGGAUUAGCAGUUGGAUUAGCAGUUGGAUUAACAACUUCAUUUUAAAAAUCCUGCUGCUAUUCAAAUUAGCCACACCGUGGGAUGUAAGGAGCUCUCUGAUUGGUUGGUCAGACACAGGCUGUCUGCCAGCCUGGAUUUUUCUAGCUCAUAGCUUCGCCCUGCUACGAAGCGUGUGUGCUUGUACAAAGGCCGUUCAGCCUCGGGAUUUACACUCGGCUCGACACGGAUAUGUGAAGAAUGAAGGGAGCCUGCAGCGAAACGGAGAGCUAACCUCUGACUGAGUGCCCGUUUACUCAGUCUGACCACCUGUUGAAGGGCUGUUUGAUGACGAUUUGGACUCCUCUGGGAGAUGAGGACACACCCACAUCUGUUCCAUACUGCAGCCAUGGAUGGUGUUACAGCUCUGAGUCAGCUUUGGGCCAUCAGAUGCACACACUGGAAAACCAGCGCCUGUACUUCAUGCAGGAGAGAUGACCUCAGUGAUGAUUGACUCUGCAUCCUCUACUUUACCUCCUAAUCUCUUUCUCUUUAACACACAAUUAAAAUCACUCCAAAAGAGUGUAAACUUACUGAGGAAGUCUCUAACUUGUACACAUUUGUACUUUUACUUGUUUUAUGAGUUAUUUUUAAGAAGAGUAAAGUUAUUCACAUAAAGUUUUUAUUCUUCUGUAUUUAUUCUUUU